GGAUAUUGCACAAUGGGGGAAACCCUGAUGCAGCGACGCCGCGUGGGCGAAGAAGUAUUUCGGUAUGUAAAGCCCUAUCAGCAGGGAAGAAGAAAUGACGGUACCUGACUAAGAAGCCCCGGCUAAAUACGUGCCAGCAGCCGCGGUAAUACGUAUGGGGCAAGCGUUAUCCGGAUUUACUGGGUGUAAAGGGAGCGCAGGCGGCUUGGCAAGUCUGAUGUGAAAGGCUGGGGCUCAACCCCAGGACUGCAUUGGAAACUGUUAGGCUGGAGUGUCGGAGAGGUAAGCGGAAUUCCUAGUGUAGCGGUGAAAUGCGUAGAUAUUAGGAGGAACACCAGUGGCGAAGGCGGCUUACUGGACGACAACUGACGCUGAGGCUCGAAAGCGUGGGGAGCAAACAG
rnacentral:rRNA from 1 species